rfam:Brassica napus, WGS project CCCW01000000 data, contig: 13372
GGAAUAUAAGAACAUGUCUCUUAACUUUUAACUGAAAAAACUAAAAAUCGGUUCUUAAUAAGAUAUUUAAAAGCCGAUUUUUAGCUUUUUUAGUUAAAAGUUAAGAGACGAAUUCUUAUAUUCA